GCCCUGCUCUAAUUAGAAAGGACUCACAGGUUGGUCACAUCAACAGUAUAAGUUUAUCUGCCUCCUUUAUCCCUCUCCUACUCAUUUUCUCCUUGAUGGCUCUGGGCUUUGGGUUUCUGGCUGCAUGGAGGGCAGGAGCUUUUUAUCAAAAGACAAGGAGUCGUCUUCUCCUUAGGAAAUGUUUAUGUUCCUUCCACAACACCAAAUUGAGAAAACAGAUUACCUCUCAGAAAGCCAUCUGUUUCAGCAUCCUGUGAGCUCUCAGACAACAGCUUUGUAGAGGGACACUCCUUGGAGGUUUGCACCAUACUAUGUCUGCAAGCUGCUCAAGAAGUGGUUGAUGUAUAGCUGGAGCCAUCAGCAGCUUUUCUUAGCAGUGACAAGGUGAAGGCUUCUGAACACCACAUUCCACAGGGUUACCUUUGCUGAGAGCAUUUGCACUACUUCUCAGGGAAUUAAUUUAAGUCAGGUUUCAGCAGGGCUGUGGUGGAACCACAGGAUGCAUGCCAGCUGCUGCACUAAUCGGCAGAGGAAGGCUCCUCUUGCCAAGCCGUAGAGCCUCCUGUCCAGGUUGGACUUCAUCUAAUUGCUAUGACGGACAAAAGAAAUGUGAGAGCAUCAGCGUUUUGCUGUGCUGUAUACCAGGGCGAGCCAGGGCUAUGCACUGCUGUUUUACUCUUAGGCUACUCCUCACAAGCCAGAGAGUGGAAGACAAAACAACAAAGGGAAAAUGCUGGGAAUCUGAUCAGAAGAGGAACAACAAAA